GGCCGAGCAUUACUCCUGGUGCAUGAAUCGGAUCACAGCACUUGCUGCUCAGAGGCCCGCACUGGCCCCCAUGAUGCUUCCAUGAGGCCCUGCAAGGCCUUUACAACCUCCCUCGGCUGACGAACACCUUCCGCACCUGGCCUCCUCACUGACCCUCACGGCAGGUUCUGAACCCACGGAUUCAACCAAGCGGGGAUCUAAAUUCAGAACCUGCGGACACAGAGCACUGAGGAUGGACAAACAGAGGCUCAGAGGGGGAGAGUAACUGCCAGACUGUCACACAGCUGGAGAGAGGCGGGGCAGGAUUUGAUCCAAGGGCUGACAGAGAAGUCCGUGCUUAAACAACUCAGCGGCACUGCCCAGGUGCACUAUUCCAUUUACAUAUCCAGCAGGAAAAUACAGUGCUCCCUCGGAGUAACGAACCUAAUGUUCUGGAAGCAGCAGGAAGCCUCGGAGGUGUUGACCUACUGCUGCUGAGCAUCCACUCAUCUGGACCCCGAAGGUGGUGGAGGGGGUAGAUCCACAUAAUGACCAGAGCUAGCAGGGACUGAGCCCUUACCACGUACCAGGUCCUGUUCCAAGCCCUCUGUACGUGUUAACUCACUUAAUCCUCACAGUGACCCAUCCCAGUGGAGGAGAUGCUAUUUUUGUCUUCUCCAUUUUAUAGAAGAGAUCAACAAGGAUCGAGAGUCCAAAUGAUGUGCCUAUGGUCACCCAGCUAAGAAGUGGAGCACAGGGCUUGAACUAAGGCUACCUGGCAGAGCUUGGUGACCCCUCUGCAGGGGUGAAAGUCUGCCCAGGGCUGAAGCGCAAAGGACUGGCCUGGACCAAAAGCAGAUGACACUGCAGACCUGCAGAGGCCUUUAGAGGUAGAGCCGCUCAGGCUCCUUAAGGGAAAGUACAAACUGGAAAGCGUAUGCUUCCUAAAAUAGGAUCUUGGAGAAAUAAAUGUGCUAUCCAUAGGAAAGAAUCUCCAAUAGGCAAUGUCCAAGAAUUAGUAGGGGAUACGUUGUGCUGGCCAGAGAGUGUUUCCAGGUAAAACAACCCCACACCCAAACUAACGACAAAGAAACGAAGCUAAACCAAACUGAAAACUAAACGACAAAAGCUGCACAGAAAACCACCAUGCAGGCAAUGACCUCUUCUGCUUGCGGAUAAAAGUGACAGUUCUAGAAAUAAAGGGGAAUAGAUGGAAGGGUUUCAAAGUAUGGGAGUGAUUUUUGUUUUCUCGUUUAAUGCCAGU